UGCACAAUACUUAUCAUCCCUCCCUGUACUGGGCUGGUCGAUGCCUCCGUCCCAUUCUGACUUGUUUGUCAUCGUUUCAUCCAUCGUUUUUUUGUUUGUUUGUUUGUUUUUCAUGAGUUCUGUGUGACACCAGAGAGAAUCAACAGCUGACUCAGUCUUGCAGGACUCUGUGUAACAGUUACAGAAACAAGUGAUUGGAGGACAGAUUGAUGAGACAGAGACCUUUCAUCCUGUCACCAGACACAGCAUGAUUCUGAGGUCUCAGUGAGUGGAGGCUCAGCGCACAUCCUACUUCUCUGACCCUUAAUGUGCCGCUGCCGUCGAGGAACAUCUGUACGUCAAUUCACGGGGACAGAUUGAGAUUGCAUGGAUACCUCCCAGCGUAAAAUGCCACAUUCGUGUACUGCAUUUUCAUCAACAGCUGCUAUUUUUAGUCGACACCCAGAUUAAUCCAUCAGGCCUGCUGAGAAGCUACAGGAAGUAUGUGCUGGCAUUUAGGGUUUAUACUGUAUGUUGUGUGUGUGUUUGUUUGUCUUUACGUAUGAGGACACGUGUGAAAAUGCACGUGUGGCACAAAGGAGGACGGACAGCAGCGAGAUACAAUCUGCAGUUCACUGACA